rnacentral:rRNA from 1 species
UACGAAGGGGGCUAGCGUUGUUCGGAUUUACUGGGCGUAAAGCGCUCGUAGGCGGACUAUUAAGUCAGAGGUGAAAGCCUGGGGCUCAACCCCAGAAUUGCCUUUGAUACUGGUAGUCUUGAGUAUGAUAGAGGUUGGUGGAAUUUCUAGUGUAGAGGUGAAAUUCGUAGAUAUUAGAAAGAACACCGGUGGCGAAGGCGGCCAACUGGAUCAUAACUGACGCUGAGGAGCGAAAGCGUGGGGAGCAAACAGG